UUUUAUGUUUCUUAUGUACUGCUUUUCAUUCCUUACAUACUCGUUAUUUUAUUUGUAUUGACGUCACGUUUGCCUAGGGACGUUGCGUUUCAUGCCCGUAGGUACUGAUAGACAGGUUGAUAGUCCUUCUAGUAGGCUAUCAUCUCAGCGGAAGGUGUUGUUGCACUCCACUUGCUCUAGAGUUGACUAGUUGGUUUUGGACAUGUAUUAAUCGGUAUGGUGGAGCCCUGUCCCAACCUAUAUGACGUUUAUGUACUCUUAGAGGCUUGUAGAUUGAUGUCAUAUAUAUGGAUACUUGUAUGGCCGUGUUAGCCUACGUUUUAAGUAUAUAAAUGAUCAUGUCGGCCUAAUAGGCCCGUAUGUCACAAGUAUAAGUUUCUAUAUCAUGUUGGAUCGUCCUAUGUCUAGUAUUUCCUUAUGUUUUAUUCCGGUUAUCUCAUGAGGGCCCUUCUGGCCCAUUUACCAAUGAUGGUAUGAUAAGAAAUUAAAAUAUGUUAUGUUGGUACUCGAUUAGGUAAGGCACUGAGUGCCCGUCGCGACC
rnacentral:lncRNA from 1 species